UAAUACAUCCCUUUUAGCUGGGCUGUAGCAGUGUAAUCUUCUCAUCAAAUAGUUAAAAACAAAAACCUUGAGGAAGAAUUCGCUUUAGAGAAGAUUGGCAGGAGACAUUUCAUCUCAGCAAGGCUACGCAAGUUGUCCGACCCACAGCGGAGGGCCCAUAAACUGGCCAGCGGGGAUGGCUCCCAGCACCUGCGCUCCACCCGGGGUGCUCUCCCGAGUCCACCACACAGCUCAGCCUCUGCUGCUACUCCACGCGUCCCACUUCCAUCACAGACCCAGCCCUCGG